rnacentral:rRNA from 1 species
CCUACGGGUGGCAGCAGUGGGGAAUAUUGCACAAUGGGGGAAACCCUGAUGCAGCGACGCCGCGUGAGUGCAGAUGUAUCUCGGUACGUAAAGCUCUAUCAGCAGGGAAGAAAAUGACGGUCCCUGACUAAGAAGCCCCUGCUAACUACGUGCCAGCAGCCGCGGUAAUCCGUAGGGGGCAAGCGUUACCCGGAUUUACUGGGGGUAAAGGGAGCGUUGGCGGCAGCACAAGGCUGGAGUGAAAUCCCGGGGCUUAACCCCGGAACUGCUUUGGAAACUGGGCGGCUGGAGUGCAGGAGGGGUAAGCGGAAUUCGUAGGGUAGCGGUGAAAUGCGUAGAUAUUAGGAGGAACACCGGUGGCGAAGGCAGCUUACUGGACUGUAACUGACGUUGAGGCUCGAAAGCGUGGGGAGCAAACAGGAUUAGAUACCCGUGUAGUC